GACGAACGCUGGCGGCGUGCCUAAUACAUGCAAGUAGGACGCAGUUGCGAACGGGUGAGUAACGCGUAGGUAACUGCCUAUUAGAGGGGGAUAACUAUUGGAAACGAUAGCUAAUACCGCAUACUAGUAGAUGGACCUGCGUUGUAUUAGCUAGUAGGUAGGGUAAUGGCCUCCCUAGGCGACGAUACAUAGCCGAGCGGAGAGGGGUGUCUGCAAAAAUGGGAACGGGAAACGGCCCAGACUCCUACGGGAGGGAGCAGGAGGGAAUCUUCGGCAAUGGGGGGAACCCUGACCGAGCAACGCCGCGUGAGGGAAGAAGGUUUUCGGAUCGUAAAGCUCUGUUGUUAAGGAAGCGGUACUUAACCAGAAAGGGACGGCUAACUACGUGCCAGCAGCCGCGGUAAUAC
rnacentral:rRNA from 1 species